UACGGGGGGGGCAAGCGUUGUUCGGAAUUACUGGGCGUAAAGGGCUCGUAGGUGGCCAACUAAGUCAGACGUGAAAUCCCUCGGCUUAACCGGGGAACUGCGUCUGAUACUGGAUGGCUUGAGAUUGGGAGAGGGAUGCGGAAUUCCAGGUGUAGCGGUGAAAUGCGUAGAUAUCAGGAGGAACACCGAUGGCGAAGGCAGGUCUCUGGGCCGAUACUGACGCUGAGGAGCGAAAGCAUGGGGAGCGAACAGG
rnacentral:rRNA from 1 species